rnacentral:rRNA from 1 species
AUUGAACGCUGGCGGCAGGCCUAACACAUGCAAGUCGAACGGUAGCACAGAGAGCUUGCUCUCGGGUGACGAGUGGCGGACGGGUGAGUAAUGUCUGGGAAACUGCCCGAUGGAGGGGGAUAACUACUGGAAACGGUAGCUAAUACCGCAUAACGUCGCAAGACCAAAGUGGGGGACCUUCGGGCCUCACACCAUCGGAUGUGCCCAGAUGGGAUUAGCUAGUAGGUGGGGUAAUGGCUCACCUAGGCGACGAUCCCUAGCUGGUCUGAGAGGAUGACCCGCCACACUGGAACUGAGACACGGUCCAGACUCCUACGGGAGGCAGCGGUUGGGAAUAUUGAACAAUGGGCGCAAGCCUGAUGCAGCCAUGCCGCGUGUAUGAAGAAGGCCUUCGGGUUGUAAAGUACUUUCAGCGGGGAGGAAGGCGGUGAAGUUAAUAACUUCACCGAUUGACGUUACCCGCAGAAGAAGCACCGGCUAACUCCGUGCCAGCAGCCGCGGUAA